rnacentral:rRNA from 1 species
AGGGCGUAUGGGGAAUGCCUAGGCACACUCCGGCGAAGAAGGACGCAGCAAACAGCGAAAUGCGACGGUGAGCGGUAAGCACGUGAAGAGCCGUCGAUAUCCGAAUGGGGGAACCCACACGGAGUCAUAUCCGUGUAUCACGUGUCGAAUACAUAGACAUGAUGAGGCGAGACGCAGGGAACUGAAACAUCUAAGUACCUGCAGGAAGAGAAAAUAAGAAUGAUUUUCUGAGUAGCGGCGAGCGAAAGGGAAAGAGCCCAAACCGAUCUGAGGAUCGGGGUAGUAGGAUCAUCGAUAAAUCAAACAGAGGAUCAUAGAGGAAUCACAUGGGAAGGUGAGCGAGAGAGGGUGAGAGCCCCGUACUCGAAAUGAGAGACUGGAGAGAGAUGACACCUGAGUAGGGCGGGACACGAGAAAUCCUGUCUGAAUCAGCCGGGACCAUCCGGCAAGGCUAAAUACGAGAGAGUGACCGAUAGUGAACCAGUACCGUGAGGGAAAGGUGAAAAGAACCCCGGGAGGGGAGUGAAAGAGAACCUGAAACCAUAUGCCUACAAGAAGUCAGAGCCCGUUAAAGGGUGAUGGCGUGCCUUUUGUAGAAUGAACCGGCGAGUUACUGUAUGGAGCGAGGUUAAGCAGGAUAUGCGGAGCCGAAGCGAAAGCGAGUCUUAAGAGGGCGCGAGUUGCAUGCAGUAGACCCGAAACCGGGUGAUCUAGCCAUGACCAGGUUGAAGUUGGGGUAAAACCCGAUGGAGGACCGAACCGACCCCCGUUGAAACGUUGGCGGAUGAGUUGUGGCUAGGGGUGAAAUUCCAAUCGAACCCGGAGAUAGCUGGUUCUCCCCGAAAUAGCUUUAGGGCUAGCGUCGAGAGAAGAGUUGCGUGAAGGUAGAGCACUGAAUAUGUGAUGGCCCCAUCUCGGGGUACUGAGCAUAAUCAAACUGCGAAUGUCACGCCAACAUGCUCGGCAGUCAGACAGCGGGUGAUAAGGUCCGUUGUCAAGAGGGAAACAGCCCAGACCAUCAGCUAAGGUCCCAAAAUGUAUGCUAAGUGGAAAAGGAUGUGGAGAUGUACAGACAACUAGGAGGUUGGCUCAGAAGCAGCCAUCCUUUAAAGAGUGCGUAACAGCUCACUAGUCGAAUGACUCUGCGCCGAUAAUUUACCGGGGCUAAGCAUACUACCGAAGCUAUGGAUCCCAAGGGAUGGUAGGGGAGCGUUCCAUGAACGGAGAAGUACGACCGAAAGGACGUGUGGAGAUCAUGGAAGAGAGAAUGCCGGUGUGAGUAGCGGAACGUGGGUGAGAAUCCCACGCACCGAAAACCCAAGGUUUCCAGAGGAAGGUUCGUCCGCUCUGGGUAAGUCGGGACCUAAGGCGAGGCCGAAAGGCGUAGUCGAUGGACAACAGGUAGAGAUUCCUGUACCCGUAUAUAUGUGAAGGAAUGACGGAGAGAGGAAGCUGCAGCCAGCGGCUGGAAGAGCUGGUGCAAGCGAGAUAUCGGGAUGGCAGGCAAAUCCACCAUCCGAAACGAGAAGGCGUGAAGCGUACGGAAAGCUACGGCGAGUACGGAAGGCAGUGGAGGAACUUCCAAGAAAAGUUUCUAACGUUAAGUAUAUAUGGCCCGUACCGAAAAUGGACACACAUGGGUGAGGAGAGAAUCCUAAGGUGAGCGAGAGAACUAUAGCUAAGGAACUCUGCAAAAUGACUCCGUAACUUAGGGAGAAGGAGUGCUCAUAGAGAUAUGAGCCGCAGUGAAACGGCCCAAGCGACUGUUUACCAAAAACACAGCUCUCUGCUAAGCCGCAAGGCGAAGUAUAGGGGGUGACGCCUGCCCGGUGCUGGAAGGUUAAGGGGAGGGGUUAACGCAAGUGAAGCCCUGAACUGAAGCCCCAGUAAACGGCGGCCGUAACUAUAACGGUCCUAAGGUAGCGAAAUUCCUUGUCAGGUAAGUUCUGACCCGCACGAAAGGCGUAAUGAUUUGGGCGCUGUCUCGACAAUGUACUCGGCGAAAUUGUAGUACUAGUGAAGAUGCUAGUUACCUGCGACAAGACAGAAAGACCCCAUGGAGCUUUACUGUAGCUUGAUACUGGGUUUCGAUAAUUUAUGUACAGGAUAGGUGGGAGGCGAAGAAGCAAUUGCGCCAGCAGUUGUGGAGUCAUCCUUGGGAUACCACCCUUAAGUUAUUGAAAUUCUAACCUGUAGUCCUGAGCGGGCUAGGGGACAAUGUCAGGCGGGCAGUUUGACUGGGGCGGUCGCCUCCAAAAGAGUAACGGAGGCGCGCAAAGGUUUCCUCAGCGCGGACAGAAAUCGCGCGAAAGAGUGCAAAGGCAGAAGGAAGCUUAACUGAGAGACUGACAAGUCGACCAGAUACGAAAGUAGGUCUUAGUGAUCCGGCGGUAGUGAGUGGAAAUGCCGUCGCUCAACGGACAAAAGUUACCCUGGGGAUAACAGGCUUAUCUCCCCCAAGAGUUCACAUCGACGGGGAGGUU